rnacentral:rRNA from 1 species
GAUGAACGCUGGCGGCGUGCCUAAUACAUGCAAGUCGAGCGAACGGACGAGAAGCUUGCGUCUCUGUUGUUGGCGGCGGACGGGCGAGUAACGCAAGGAUAACCUACCUAUACGACUAGGAUAACUUCGACAAGCGGGCGCUAAUACCGCAUAAUAUUUUGAACCGCAGGGUUCAAAAAUGAAAGACGCUCUUGAUGUCACUUAUCGAUGGAUCCGCGCUGCAUUAGCUAGUUGGUAAGGUAACGGCUUACCAAGUCAACGAUGCAUAGCCGACCGGAGAGGGUGACCGGCCACCCGCGAACGAGGCCACCCUGCAGACUCCUACGGCAGUCAGCAGCCGGGAAUCUUCCGCAGUGGGCGAAAGCCUGACGGUGCCACUGCGCGUGAGUGUGGAGGGUCUCCGCAUCGUAAAACUCUGUUAGUAGUGAAGAACAUAUGUGUAAGUAACUGUGCACAUCUUGACGGUACCCAAGCAGAAAGCCACGGCUAACUACGUG